rnacentral:misc_RNA from 1 species
GACAGAGGGUGCAAACGUUGUUCGGAAUUACUGGGCGUAAAGCGCGUGUAGGCGGCUUUGUAAGUCGGAUGUGAAAUCCCGCGGCUCAACCGUGGAAGUGCACCCGAAACUGCAGGGCUAGAGUAUCGGAGAGGAAGGUGGAAUGCUUGGUGUAGAGGUGAAAUUCGUAGAUAUCAAGCGGAACACCGGUGGCGAAGGCGGCCUUCUGGACGAUCACUGACGCUGAGACGCGAAAGCGUGGGUAGCAAACAGG